rnacentral:rRNA from 1 species
AUUGAACGCUGGCGGCAGGCUUAACACAUGCAAGUCGAACGAGUGGAGGACGGGUGAGUAAUGCUUGGGAAUCUAGCUUAUGGAGGGGGAUAACUACGGGAAACUGUAGCUAAUACCGCGUACCAUAGGAUGAGCCCAAGUGGGUUUAGGUAGUUGGUGAGGUAAAGGCUCACCAAGCCAACGAUCUCUAGCUGUUCUGAGAGGGUGAACCGCCACACUGGUAUUGAGACACGGCCCAGAAUCCUACGGGAGGCAGCAGUGGGGAAUAUUGCGCAAGGGGGGCCACCUGACGCAGCCAUGCCGCGUGAAUGAAGAAGGCCUUAGGGUUGUAAAGUUCUUUCGGUAGAGAGGCGUUAACUACAGAAGAAGCACCGGCUAACUCCGUGCCAGCAGCCGCGGUAAUUC